AUACGGAGGAUCCGAGCGUUAUCCGGAUUUAUUGGGUUUAAAGGGUGCGUAGGUGGUUUGAUAAGUCAGCGGUGAAAGUUUGCAGCUUAACUGUAAAAAUGCCGUUGAAACUGUCGGACUUGAGUGUAAAUGAGGUAGGCGGAAUGCGUGGUGUAGCGGUGAAAUGCAUAGAUAUCACGCAGAACUCCGAUUGCGAAGGCAGCUUACUAAGCUACAACUGACACUGAAGCACGAAAGCGUGGGGAUCAAACAGGAUUAGAUACCCUGGUAGUCCACGCAGUAAACGAUGAUUACUAGCUGUGUGCGAUACACAGUAAGCGGCACAGCGAAAGCGUUAAGUAAUCCACCUGGGGAGUACGCCGGCAACGGUGAAUCUCAAAUGAAUUGACGGGG
rnacentral:rRNA from 1 species